GACAGAGGUGCCAAGCGUUAGGCGGAAUCACUGGGCUUAAAGCGUGUGUAGGCGGACUUGUAAGUACCUUGUGAAAUCCCACGGCUCAACCGUGGAACUGCUCGGUAUACUGCUUGUCUUGAGCCACUUAGGGGCUGUCGGAACAAACGGUGGAGCGGUGAAAUGCGCAGAGAUCAGGAGGAACACCCGUAGCGAAGGCGGCACUCUGGGCCGAUACUGACGCUGAGGAGCGAAAGCGUGGGGAGCGAACAGG
rnacentral:rRNA from 1 species